rnacentral:rRNA from 1 species
UAAUGGCUCCAACCUAGGCGACGAUCCCUAGCUGGUCUGAGAGGAUGACCAGCCACACUUGGGAACUGAGACACGGUCCAGACUCCUUAACGGGAGGCAGCAGUGGGGAAUAUUGCACAAUGGGCGCAAGCCUGAUGGCCAGCCAUGCCGCGUGUAUGAAGAAGGGCCCUUCGGGUUGUAAAGUACUUUCAGCGGGGAGGAAGGCGGUGAGGUUAAAAUAACCUCGCCGAUUGACGUUACCCGGCCAGAAGAAGCACCGGCUAACUCCGUGCCAGCAGCCGCGGUAAUACGGAAGGGGUGCAAGCGUUAAUCGGAAUUACUUGGGGCGUAAAGCGCACGCAGGCGGUCUGUUAAGUCAGAUGUGAAAUCCCCCCGGGCUUAACCUGGGAACUGCAUUUGAAAACUGGCAGGCUUGAGUCUGGUAGAGGGGGGUAGAAUUCCAGGUGUAAGGCGGUGAAAUGCGGAGAGAUCUGGAGGGGAAUACCGGUGGCGAAGGCGGCCCCCUGGACGAAGACUGACGCUCAGG